rnacentral:rRNA from 1 species
UACGGGGGGAGCAAGCGUUGUUCGGAUUUACUGGGCGUAAAGGGCGCGUAGGCGGCGUGACAAGUCACUUGUGAAAUCUCCGGGCUUAACUCGGAACGGUCAAGUGAUACUGUCGUGCUAGAGUACAGAAGGGGCAACUGGAAUUCUCGGUGUAGCGGUGAAAUGCGUAGAGAUGUGGAGGAAUACCGAUGGCGAAGGCAGCCCCCUGGGAUAACGACUGACGCUCAUGCACGAAAGCGUGGGGAGCAAACAGG